rnacentral:rRNA from 1 species
AUUGAACGCUGGCGGCAGGCCUAACACAUGCAAGUCGAACGAGUGGCGGACGGGUGAGUAAUGUCUGGGAAACUGCCCGAUGGAGGGGGAUAACUACUGGAAACGGUAGCUAAUACCGCAUACCAUCGGAUGUGCCCAGAUGCGAUUAGCUAGUAGGUGGGGUAAAGGCUCACCUAGGCGACGCUCCCUAGCUGGUCUGAGAGGAUGACCAGCCACACUGGAACUGAGACACGGUCCAGGCUCCUACGGGAGGCAGAAGUGGGGAAUAUUGCACAAUGGGCGCAAGCCUGAUGCAGACAUGCCGCGUGUAUGAAGAAGGCCUUCGGGUUGUAAAGUACUUUCAGCGGGGAGGCGUUACCAACAGAAUAAGCACCGGCUAACUUCGUGCCAGCAGCCGCGGUAAUAC